rnacentral:rRNA from 1 species
CGGAACGGGUGAGUAACGCGUGAGCAACCUGCCUAUGACAGUGGGAUAGCCUCGGGAAACCGGGAUUAAUACCGCAUAAAAUCGUAGAAACACAUGUUUUAACGGUCAAAGAUUUAUCGGUCAUAGAUGGGCUCGCGUCUGAUUAGCUAGUUGGUGAGAUAACAGCCCACCAAGGCGACGAUCAGUAGCCGGUCUGAGAGGAUGAACGGCCACAUUGGAACUGAGACACGGUCCAA